rnacentral:rRNA from 1 species
UGGAGCAAAACUUCAAAAAUAGGUCUCAGUUCGGACUGUAGGCUGCAACUCGCCUACACGAAGUUGGAAUUGCUAGUAAUCGUGGAUCAGCAUGCCACGGUGAAUACGUUCCCGGGUCUUGUACACACCGCCCGUCACACCAUGGGAGCUGGUAACACCCGAAGUCAGUAGUCUAACCGCAAGGAGGACGCUGCCGAAGGUGGGAUUAGCGACUGGGGUGAAGUCGUAACAAGGUACC